rnacentral:lncRNA from 1 species
AUGCUUAUUUAAGCUUGGACGGUUUUCAGAGACAAACUCCAUUAAGAAUUAAUUCUUUUCACAUGGCUGAAUUGACACAUGCGUCCUGUCGAUGUAAACCCAAAUCACAGCUGUGAACUGCAUGAAAUGUAUUGUGAAAUGAACACAAGAUAAAGCUUUGUCAGGUUAUUGUAGCAUGCUGAGGGCUCUAGAAAAAAAAAUAAACUAAGGAGAUGAUCUUCGUUUAUGUCAUUUCUACUGGUGGAAAGAGGAUCUGGAAAGAUAGAAACUGGAUGUAAAAGCCACUUGCUUGCACACGGAUCAGGAAUCAAGGUAUCAGUGAAAGGGGGCACUCCUGGAGAAAUAUGGAGAAUUUGUUGCUUAAGAAUAGAGUUAAAUUCAGCCCCUCCAUCCAUUUUUUGAAUUCUUCAACUGAUACUUGGCGAGAGCCUAUUUUGUGUAAGAGAACGCUUUCUGUAUGCAAUUGUCCAACUUACCGGUCCAGGAGUCCAAGAUAAACAGGGAUUAUAAUGGAGGAUCCCGUUCAAGAAUAAGAUCAUCAAAAUCAUGGACUUCUUUUGACAAUGGCCAGCAAAAUGGAAUGAUCUGUAAGACAGCGAACUCAAAGGCUAGUGCAGCCAUUCUAACAGGUGUGAGGUGAUGUCUUACUACGGAAUACCAAUCCUCUUGGUGAAGGGAAAAACAAAAGCAGUUGCACAGAAAUCUUGAGCAGCAAGGCAUUUCUUAGCCAGGUACGUGGCUGCGGUUGAAAUUAAUA